AUGAACGCUGGCGGCGUGCUUAAUACAUGCAAGUCGAACGAAGAGCCCUUAACCGAAGAUGAUGACGUGCUUGCACUGAAUCUGAUUCACCUUAGGGUACUGAGUGGCGGACGGGUGAGUAACGCGUGGGUAACCUGCCUUAGACAGGGGGAUAACAUCAAGAAAUUGGUGCUAAUACCGCAUAUGCUCACAGUAUCGCAUGAUACAGUGAGGAAAACUCCGGUGGUCUAAGAUGGACCCGCGUCUGAUUAGGCUAGUUGGAGGGGUAACGGCCCACCAAGGCGACGAUCAGUAGCCGACUUGAGAGAGUGAUCGGCCACAUUGGGACUGAGACACGGCCCAAACUCCUACGGGAGGCAGCAGUAGGGAAUAUUGCACAAUGGGGGAAACCCUGAUGCAGCGACGCCGCGUGAAGGAUGAAGUAUUUCGGUAUGUAAACUUCUAUCAGCAAGGAAGAAAAUGACGGUACUUGACUAAGAAGCCCGGCUAAAUACGUGCCAGCCGCCGC
rnacentral:rRNA from 1 species